GUUUCUGCCAUCCCAAAUGACAGCAUGUUGGUGCCGUCUCUCAUCUGCGACAGUGCCUAGGUUUUAUUUUACAGAAACUGAGACAGUGGCAUCUCGCCUAAUCUUUUUUAUCUGUUAUUUGAGAGAAUCUCACAUUAGCAACUUGGAUUUUGCAACAUUCUGAAAGAUGGGUAUCUUGAAAUUACCUAGGUAACUACCCGCAAGCACAAUUCUGACAUCGUUGGGCCUGAAUUCUGGAUGCAGAGGCUGGGGGCUGGUCAGCGAGGAACAAUGGUCAUUUGUGAAGGAGAGGACACUUGAGAGCUCGGUGUCUCUAUAACGGGAGGCAAAACCAUGUUCACCAAUAAGGUUUAAACCCUUUAUUUAGUGAAAUGAAGUGUUAGGGAACACAGAGGGGGUUUUUAAGAGCUUACACGUCCAUCAGAACCAGAGCCACGGUGUGGGAAGAGAACCGCAAGACAUUUCCUCAAAUACCUGUGGCUUUGUCAACAACAAAAACAAACAAAAAAGAAACAAACAAGAACAUAGUUCGAAGGAGAAAUGACUUGGCACCUGAGUUCAAGAUUGUCUUAACCCAGAUGAAGGAAUCAAAGACCAGGAACACAAGCAAUUUGGUUACAAAGAAUUACACAGAAGUGAAAUGAGAACGGAAGCAAUUUCUUCUGAACCCUAGAACCACGGGGCAGCAUUACCAUGAAGUGACCUUAGAAUCAGGGAUGGUCUGAGAAAACAUCUUCAGCUGAUCUUCAAGAAUGACCACAGAAGUGAUAAUUCCAAAGAAAAAAGUAAAUAGUUCGAUUACCAAUACAAAAAUUAAUAAAUGGAAUAGCAUUAAGCAAUGCCAGAUUUCAGUGGCGAAACAGAUUCAGAAUUUAUACCCUGUGUUGUGCUAUGACCACUAAACAACAUACAGCUUCCAGAAACCACAGACGGCAUUAUAGCUGACAUCGGGGCUAUGCUGUUUGAGUUUUCUCAAAUCGUUGCAAAUCUCCAAAAAUUUUUCCAAUAUAAUUUUUUAAAAAAUUCUACAUACAGC